rnacentral:rRNA from 1 species
GACGCUGGCGGCGUGCUUAACACAUGCAAGUCGAACGGAAAGGCCCUGCUUUUGUGGGGUGCUCGAGUGGCGAACGGGUGAGUAACACGUGAGUAACCUGCCCUUGACUUUGGGAUAACUUCAGGAAACUGGGGCUAAUACCGGAUAGGAGCUCCUGCUGCAUGGUGGGGGUUGGAAAGUUUCGGCGGUUGGGGAUGGACUCGCGGCUUAUCAGCUUGUUGGUGGGGUAGUGGCUUACCAAGGCUUUGACGGGUAGCCGGCCUGAGAGGGUGACCGGCCACAUUGGGACUGAGAUACGGCCCAGACUCCUACGGGAGGCAGCAGUGGGGAAUAUUGCACAAUGGGCGGAAGCCUGAUGCAGCAACGCCGCGUGCGGGAUGACGGCCUUCGGGUUGUAAACCGCUUUCGCCUGUGACGAAGCGUGAGUGACGGUAAUGGGUAAAGAAGCACCGGCUAACUACGUG